rnacentral:rRNA from 1 species
CGGCGGUGUGCCUAAUACAUGCAAGUCGUACGCACUGGCCCAACUGAUUGAUGGUGCUUGCACCUAAUUGACGAUGGAUCACCAGUGAGUGGCGAACGGGUGAGUAACACGUAGGUAACCUGCCCCGGAGCGGGGGAUAACAUUUGGAAACAGAUGCUAAUACCGCAUAACAACAAAAGCUGCAUGGCUUUUGUUUGAAAGAUGGCUUUGGCUAUCACUCUGGGAUGGACCUGCGGUGCAUUAGCUAGUUGGUAAGGUAACGGCUUACCAAGGCGAUGAUGCAUAGCCGAGUUGAGAGACUGAUCGGCCACAAUGGAACUGAGACACGGUCCAUACUCCUACGGGAGGCAGCAGUAGGGAAUCUUCCACAAUGGGCGCAAGCCUGAUGGAGCAACACCGCGUGAGUGAAGAAGGGUUUCGGCUCGUAAAGCUCUGUUGUUGGAGAAGAACGUGCGUGAGAGUAACUGUUCACGCAGUGACGGUAUCCAACCAGAAAGUCACGGCUAACUACGUGCCAGCAGCCGCGGUAAUACGUAGGUGGCAAGCGUUAUCCGGAUUUAUUGGGCGUAAAGCGAGCGCAGGCGGUUGCUUAGGUCUGAUGUGAAAGCCUUCGGCUCAACCGGAGAAUUGCAUCAGAAACUGUUGAACUUGAGUGCAGAAGAGAAGAGUGGAACUCCAUGUGUAGCGGUGGAAUGCGUAGAUAUAUGGAAGAACACCAGUGGCGA